rnacentral:rRNA from 1 species
AUGGGGGGAACCCUGACCGAGCAACGCCGCGUGAGUGAAGAAGGUUUUCGGAUCGUAAAGCUCUGUUGUUAAGGAAGAACGAGUGUGAGAAUGGAAAGUUCAUACUGUGACGGUACUUAACCAGAAAGGGACGGCUAACUACGUGCCAGCAGCCGCGGUAAUACGUAGGUCCCGAGCGUUGUCCGGAUUUAUUGGGCGUAAAGCGAGCGCAGGCGGUUAGAAAAGUCUGAAGUGAAAGGCAGUGGCUCAAUCAUUGUAGGCUUUGGAAACUGUUUAACUUGAGUGCAGAAGGGGAGAGUGGAAUUCCAUGUGUAGCGGUGAAAUGCGUAGAUAUAUGGAGGAACACCGGUGGCGAAAGCGGCUCUCUGGUCUGUAACUGACGCUGAGGCUCGAAAGCGUGGGGAGCGAACAGGAUUAGAUACCCUGGUAGUUCACGCCGUAAACGAUGAGUGCUAGGUGUUAGGUCCUUUCCGGGACUUAGUGCCGCAGCUAACGCAUUAAGCACUCCGCCUGGGGAGUACGACCGCAAGGUUGAAACUCAAAGGAAUUGACGGGGGCCCGCACAAGCGGUGGAGCAUGUGGUUUAUUCGAAGCAACGCGAAGAACCUUACCAGGUCU